GUGAGUUCUCAGGGCGGGGUGAAAGUCCCCACCGGCGGUAAAGGGAAUCCUGCGCGUCUGCUGAUUGCGAGACGUGUACCCAAGCCCGCGAGCGCCUUCUUCAUCCGAAGAAGGGUCAGCAGAUUCGGUGCAAUUCCGAAGCCGACGGUUAAAGUCCGGAUGAAAGAGAACGGGU
rnacentral:ncRNA from 2 species